GUAAAGUCAUAUUUUCUUUCGUUUUACCGCAUAAUUUUAAUUGCACGAAUUUAAAGUUGAACGAGAAUUUUGAAGAGGCUUGGAAUUCUUAUAUUCCUUUAGCUGGUAUGACAAAGUAAGCAAAAUGCCCAAACCAUUGAAUGUUGAAAAACUGGAAAGGAAGUUUGCUUCCUUAACCAGAUCAAGAGAGAGUAUUCUUGGUUUAUCUUCAUGGAUAUUUCAUCAUAAGGAGAAUUAUAAGGAAAUAGUAGAAGCAUGGCUAAAUUCAUUAAUGAAAGACACCGUGGCUCGAUGCAGACUGCCAACCAGCAGCGUGAGACACUUUUGUUACGGACAUGGAGACGAGGAUUCGAAUUUUGGAAGCCGAAUGGGCAGAUUGCGCGUUUUAGAGCAGACUUAUUGUGACCUCAUGACCACCUUCUGUGAUUCUUCCACUUCUUCAUUAUUAUCUGGGGAUAUUUGUUCAUCUGAGGACAUUUCUUACGGCUAUUGGAUCUUAAAGACAACUGGCAGAACUUAGCGAACAAAGAUUCUUAUGUGCUAAAUAACUACAUGGCUGCUUUGCACAAUAUGGAAAAACUUUGUACGAAGUUCUUUCAGAUUGCUUGGGCAAUUUUUCUUAUCGUGUUAGAGCGAAACCAUGUUAUAUGAAAACCGUGUUGUAGGAGGGUUUUCACAUUUUAUGAAGCAUGUUAUAGUGAAACCAUGUUACAGGAUGCUGUGUUGUAGAAGAGCUACCUGUACUCAUAUUCUUUUAAAAAAUCGUUCACAGAGGACUUUUCUUCUAUUAUUUUGUCAAGGAAAUUUAAUAUUGCUGUGUGUACCAUUUCUCAUUGCAAUUUUUCAAUUUUGCACAGUGGAAGGGUCAAUGCUUUUAACCCUUUCACUAUGAAUUAAGAAAAAAAUUUUUAAAUUUCCUAUCUAAGUGAAGGAAAUAAUCAUAAAAUAAUGUAAAUUUAGCAUUUGGAAUUUUUUUGACAAAUGGUUUUCAAGCAAAAGGUUGGGCACAUAUGUCCCGGUUAUAGUUAAUGGUGGGAUACAUAUGUCCCACGUGCAGUGAUCGACUUACUUAAACACACCUAUUAUUAUGGGAAACUUUAUUAUAUGAAAUAGAUUUUGCAUCAUAUGGUACAGGGUGAAGCAUUCUUUGCAUAA